rnacentral:rRNA from 1 species
GACGAACGCUGGCGGCGUGCUUAACACAUGCAAGUCGAACGGAAAGGCCCCGUUGGGGGUACUCGAGUGGCGAACGGGCGAGUAACACGUGAGUAACCUGCCCUUGACUUCGGGAUAACUUCAGGAAACUGGGGCUAAUACCGGAUAGGAAUCCUUGCUGCAUGGUGGGGGUGGGAAAGCUUCGGCGGUUUUGGAUGGACGCGCGGCCUAUCAGCUUGUUGGUGGGGUAGUGGCUUACCAAGGCUUUGGCGGGUAGCCGGCCUGAGGGGGCGACCGGCCACAUUGGGACUGAGAUUCGGCCCAGGCCCCUACGGGGGGCCGCCGGGGGGAAUAUUGCACCAUGGGCGGGAGCCUGAUGCAGCAACGCCGCGGGCGGGAUGACGGCCUUCGGGUUGUAAACCGCUUUCAGCAGGGGCGAAGCUUGUGGUGACGGUACCUGCAGAAGAAGCACCGGCUAACUACGUG